ensembl:lncRNA
GUUUUUUUCUUACUCACAUCAGUCAAAUAGUUUUCUUUCCUCUUUAUUAUGACAGUGUAUAAUUCAUUUAGCAGUAAUCAUAUUUAAGGAAUGUAUUUUACAAUCAUCAAGUAUGUUACGAGGAGUUUGAAAAGAUUGAUCUACUACCGAGCACCCAGUGUUUGUCUGUGCCCACAUAGUUCUCCAAGAACGUGGAGUUCAGCAGGAGGAGUAAAUGAAAGCAUCCUUAAAACCACAAGUUAGCGACUCCGGGUCCCUGGUGCGGUAACUUGAUCAGUGCGGCACCAUUCCCACGGUGUUUCCUCUUUAGCUUGAGACGCGUCAGGCGCAGGAGUUGUCUGUCAACCCCGGGCUAUCACUGCAAGGUGUUUUCUAUUUGUGUUCAUGUUCUCUUGUCUCAGGGAAACUAAGCAGCUCUGGCAUGCCUCACACACUGCGAGGCGCAGGGUUGCAUUAAAAUGGGGGGUGGGGGGGUUUGGGGGAUGGGGAGGGGGCACGGAGCCCGUUUAAUGACUGAAUCCUUUUGAUGAUACCUCAUCAUAAUAAUAGUAGUUAAAAAACUGUCAAUGCUCAUUUUUCAUACAGAGACAGGGCUAUAUCUGUAAGGGUGCACUAUUCAACACAUGUAAAAAAAAAUAAAAAAAAAAUACAAUUGACACAUGGCAUCUCCUGGGUCCUCACACGAGCUGUUGCCCAUUUACACCUAGCAAUGACCAAAGUGGGCCCUCUUUACUGUCUUCCAAGCUGACACCCCAUUUCCGUGGCUGUCCCUACUGGAGAAGUCUCCAGCCAGCGAACGGAAGCCAAGACGGGUUGGCAUGUAUCACUACAUUCUCAAGAUGGCAUAUUUACUGUUCCUGCCAGCAGGGUCAUGGCUCUGUCCUAGUAAAUGUAGUGGAGUAUGAAAAAGGCAAUUACAUCUCACUGGGUGACCUUUAAACAGCCAUGACUACCUCCUAUCUAUACAUAAUUAUCAUAGGUGAUGAUUUCCCGCGAUUACUGUCUCUCACACUCCAAAUCUCUCUCUCUCUCUCCUCCUCUCUCUCUUUCACACCCUUUCUCCCUCCCGCUCCCCUCGCCUCCAUUAGCCUUGAGCAUACACCCUUCUUAAUCCAGCUUGUUGACUGCAGGUGUCUCCUUAACCCUUAAACAAUCGCAUCUCUUCUUGCUGUUACAGAAAAGGGUGGGGUUCAAGACGUAAAUGAGGGGAGGCUGGAGAGAGAGAGAGAGAGAGAGAGAGAGAGAAAGAGAGAGACAGAGAGAGAGCCUAAGAAGAGAUAGCUCUGGAUGUCAGGUUCUCCAGUCAUCCUAAUAAAAAAAAAACAGCAAAUAAGAUGUCGCCCUGUUUGUAUUCAUUAUCAGUUCUUACAUGCUCCGGCUCGUGCAUUAAACAUUAGACAGCCUCUGAUGUCUGCUUAACAGUUUAAUUCCCUCCUCAGCAUUCAGGCUGUCAUAAUAAAAUCAGCCAAGCACACAAAGUCAAAUAAGAGCAUGAGGAGGCAGCGCGCGCGCGAGGCAGCUGAGGCUGCUGAGGCUGCUGCACUCCGCCAUUGUCAUCCAGCCGUUUGCCACCCCCGCUCACUCGCCGCAACCUCCGUGUGCCGCGCACCCAGCCUGAUCCCGCCAUGCGCUUCGGAAGUGACACUCAAAUUCAAUCUUCCUCCGCCGCCGCCACCGCGGCCAGCCUAUCUCCCCCGUGCAGGGCGAGGGUGGUACGCAUGCAGCGCGGCGAUAGCAGGCCCUUCAAAAGGGACCAGCCUCUGAGCCACUGGAGCCGCUACAAUGGGGCCCACUUCUGUCAACAAAGAGGGAGACUAGAGAGCCCAGAUAUCUACUCUAUGGAAAGAUUAACAGUAGCAAAUCCGUUUAGCAUCCUUCUUUCUACCCUCCCUUCCCCUUUUUUCAUUUUUUUUUUACAUAGAAUUUUUUUUUUCUUUUAAUAAGUUAUUUACAGGAUGCUGAUCUCAAACCCUGAAUUGGAACAAGAGAUUAGUUCCAUUAAAGUGUAGCCUUCUUUAUUCUCACUGAAGGGUGUAUUUUUGAAGAGGGGGACAAUGUGAAGAAAGGCCUGUAAUUGGACUUCUUCAGAGGAAGCUCACACUUGGCUGCCGGCAGCAAAGCUUUCAGAAAACUACUUCUCAAUGGCAGCGAUCCAUUGCAAAUACAGUUUAAUAUAUAGUCCAUAUAGUGGCUGCUGGCUCAUGUGGUUGGCUGGUGGAGACAGCAGAACAGUUUUGUACCUCAUUUUUCUCCCAUG